CACCGCGGUUAGACAAGGAGCCCAAACUAACAGAUACCGGCGUAAAAUGUGAUUAAAACCCUAUAACCUACCAAAAUUAAGGUGAACUACCUGCUUAGCUGUUAUACGCCAAAGCACAAAUUAACACACUAUGAAAAUAACCUUAACACAACGGAACUAUUUGAACCCACGAUCGCUAAGACA
rnacentral:rRNA from 1 species